rnacentral:lncRNA from 1 species
UUUGGCCACCUAUUAUUGCAGGGUUGACUGGAUUUGAAUAUAAAAGCUCGUGACUUAUAUUCUGAAACAUGGAGGGAGUUUAUUUCUCGACAAAUUGCUACCAGCAUCGGUUUUUUGCGUUCCAAGAAGUGCUUGAUUGGCGAGUUUUCAUCCUUGGCAAUUUUAUUCUCGUUUCCUUUGUCAAUUGCACUUAGUGUUCUGUUCCCCUUCAAUGAUCAGCAAAGGGUACGUGAUGCUAUCUUAUUCUGAUACAGGUGCUGCAUCUUGCACUUGUACAAGUAAGCAUUUAUUCUUAUACUUAUAUGCAAAACACCAAUCUGAAAAGUUAGUUUAUUGACAAAUGUUCCUUUGACAGUGCAUUGCUGACCCGGCAUUUAGUUAAAACUUCUGUGGAAUCUUCUUCCAGGGUAAGAAGUCUAUCUUGUGCAACCUCUACAUAACAUCAUAAUAACAUGUUUCGAUGUGAUUAAAUUUAACUCCCUCAUGUUUUCUUUACAGGGAUUAAGCAUAGUCUGGUCACUGAAUAUUGGAUUCAGCCUGCAUCUUUGAGUGAAACAUUUGCAUCGAAUCAGUACAGACUGUUAUUGGCAAUUGUCUCCGUUUUGCACUUGAUCUGUAUUUUUGGUGACAACAUCAUUUACCCAAAAGUUCUGAAAUGAAUCCUAUAAUAGAUUAGAUGAAGUAGAUUUUAUUUCAGUCCUGACAUCUUUGGUCACUGUGGUUCUACCUAGUGAUUAAUGCUAUUGCAUUGAUCAAACAGUUUGAUGGGACCUGAGAAGUGGCAGUAUGAUCUGUGGUACUUGUUUGUUUCUACCACCUUUGUCUUGCAACCAUAACAAAAGUGGGUCUACUACUAAAUAAGCCAGUGCAGUGCUUCCAUCAGAAAGUUUCUGUUUCUGUGACCUUUGUCUUGCAACCAUAACAAAGCCUGGGUCUAUUACUAAAUAAGGCUGUGUCACCCUUCCAUCAGAAAGUUUCUGUUUCUAUGCCCUCUUCUGACAUGGCAGAAUAUUGACGGUGGAUUUUUCUGGACCAGCAGGAACUUGUUAAUAU